rnacentral:rRNA from 1 species
UACGAGGGGGGCGAGCGUUGUUCGGAAUUAUUGGGCGUAAAGGGGGCGUAGGCGGUUUGGUAAGGCUUGUGUGAAAUCUCCAGGCUCAACUUGGAGUCUGCACGAGAAACUGCCGGGCUUGAGUGUGGGAGAGGUGAGUGGAAUUCCUGGUGUAGCGGUGAAAUGCGUAGAUAUCAGGAGGAACACCUGUGGCGAAAGCGGCUCACUGGACCACAACUGACGCUGAUGCACGAAAGCUAGGGGAGCAAACAGG